AUUAUUGUCUUCUUUUUAUUUAUUCAUUUAGUCAUUUAUUAAUUCAUUCAUUUCAGCCUCGAAGCCAAAGUUGUAUUUAAUACAAGUGGAGCAAGACUCGAGCCAAAGGCUCGAAAAAUAGUUUAGGACAGGUGAAAUGGGUCGAAAGCCCAACUAGACUAGGACAGGUCUCGUUGAUUUGGGCCCAAUGGCCUAAAUCCUUUACUUUCUCCUCCCU
rnacentral:lncRNA from 1 species